rnacentral:rRNA from 1 species
UACGUAGGGUGCGAGCGUUGUCCGGAUUUAUUGGGCGUAAAGGGCUCGUAGGCGGCCUGUCGCGUCGGGAGUGAAAGCCCACUGCUUAACGGUGGGUCUGCUUCCGGUACGGGCGGGCUGGAGUAUGGCAGGGGAGACUGGAAUUCCUGGUGUAGCGGUGAAAUGCGCAGAUAUCAGGAGGAACACCGGUGGCGAAGGCGGUGGUCUGGGCCGGAACUGACGCUGAGGAGCGAAAGCGUGGGGAGCGAACAGG